UUGUCUCAGAUAAGGUGGAGAGAGCAAGAUGUCAAAAAGGUGACUUGGCAGCAAGGGUCAUUGGUGUCCUCAAAACAAAUUUCAGUGUAGAGGUUGUGGAGAGAAGCCAGAUUGAAGAGGGUUUCUAUAUGAAUUGGAAAGAGUGGAAGAAGAGCUACUGAGAAAUUUUGCUACAAAGCUGUGUUCGGCUAUUGGGAUCCUUAUUGGAAGAGAGGAGGCAGAUACUUGAUUCUUUCAUCUUUGCCAAGCAAGCAUGAAAAGAUACUGGGACUGGACUGUGAGGAUACACCAGCCAGCUGUAAAUGGUCUUGACCAAUGUGAACAUUUUUUCUUUGUUGAAAAUACUGCUCACCACACAGUGUUGAAGAUUAAAUGGGAGAAUUUAUAGUAAGCCUUUGAUAAAAGUCAUCUUAGAGCAGUCUGACAACUGAGGAAACCAAACGGGAAGGAUAGAAUCCAAUAAAAUACCAGUUUGGAACAGGUUUGAAAAUAUUUGGUUCCAAUUAUGGUUUUCAUACAGUGAUUGGUGAAAAUACUAAACCAAGAUGUGGACACAGGAUCAGGGGCUGGGUGGAUUCUCUUUGGUGGUUGGGAAGGAACUUGAGAAGGAAGGAGAAACUGGACUGAAGCUCAUGAGGUUCUACAGCAGUGGCGGCAGGCAUGAAUGAUCUUCCAGUCCCAGAGCGAGUCUGACGGAGCUCUGGAACCAGACUCCUGCUCUCAUCACUGCGCCAUCCUGUCAUCCUUUAUCAUCUGUCUAAGAAGCCUCAUUUCACAUUUUCCAAUUCUACUGUUCCUGAAGCAAAACAAAGUCAGUCACUCAGACCCUGCAGUAGGAUAAAGCAAAUGUGAAGGCACCACACCAAGUGCUUUACGUGCACUGUCUCAUUUGAUCCUCACAACCAGCCGAUGAGCAGGUCUACUAUUAUUCCUCGCUUGCAGUUUGGAAACUGAGGCUUGAAGGAUAAGAAACGUGUCCCAAACCUACAACAGGUAGAACCAAAAGUUAAGCACAGGCCCUGUGACUCCAGAGCUCAUGCGCUUCCCUGCGACACGGAUUGAGUAAAAGCAGACAGACAUUCCAGUUCGGUUGCAGUAGUGACUGAAGCAAAACAAUUGCUACAAAAGGACAGAAGCUUUCCCCCUACAUCUCUCUCUGGACUAUAACACAAGAUAUACUAGUAGUCUCAUUGGUGCUGAAUGGUGUAUUUUUCAAAGAAGUAGGCUCCUUUCUGACUAUAAUAAUUCAAACAUCGCCUUAUUUAAGGUAUGGAAAGCCAUUGAAAGGUGUGAAACAGGGAUGUGACAGGAUCUGAUCUACUGGCUCAGAGGACACUCUCAAUGGGUGAGAAAAAUAGAUCCAAAGAGGAACAAGGAAGAACAAGAGGGACCUUGGGAAGCCACUAUGGUUUCUGAGCUGUUUUUAUACCAUCCCAGAAGUUCGAUUACUUGGAUUGAAUCCUGGCUCCUCCACUUACCAGCUCCGUGAGGACUUGGACUAUGUUCCCAUCAUGACGAACAGCACCAGUCAGAAUAUGUAUACUGAUUAAUGAAUGAGGAUUGUGUUUGCCGCAGGUCUCUGAAGAUCAGGACACCCAUUUGUAAAAAGAUCGUCCUCAUGAAGACACCUGUGCUCUCAAUAACACAUCUCUCAUUAGCAAGAGGGAUAACAGAAAGAGAAGAGGCCAUUAGAAGGUGCACAGGACCCACCCCCUGCAUUCGCCUGAGCUCCCACGGGCAGGGAUUGUGUUUGUUUUCCUGGGGCAGUGCUUUGAGGUGCCUCCCUCCCUGAAACCCACAGUUCAGAAGGAAAGUGAGAGCAGGUGAGGGCCACCUACUGGAGGAUGAGAGACCAUGUAGCACAGAAUCGAGUCCUCCCAGCUGAGGCCAUCCUAGACCAGCCUGUUCCCAGCCGACCUGAGAGACCUGAGAGCUGACCACAGACGUAUAAGGACCAGCCAGGUGCCAGGCCCUGUGAGAAAUAAGGACCAAAUACCUGCUCACGAGAAGUGAUAUGCUAAUCGGGAAGGCUGUGUUCUAGAAAAUUUUGCAUGAUGAGAUGCAGGAAAAGGAUUGAGAAUGUUAUUGUGCCCUCUGCUUAAGGAUUAAAUCAGGUCCUGAUUUUUGGUUAUGGCUAGAGAAACCAAGAUGGCGG